rnacentral:lncRNA from 1 species
UUAAAAGUAUUCAUCUAAAAUUGGUUUGGAGUUAAAACUAACCAUUUAUUAAUUUUCUGAUCAUUUUACCUUUAUAAUUAAAUCAAAUUUACGGACAUAACAUUGUACCAUAGAAAUCAAAAUCCAUUGUGGAGAUCGACGUUUCGGGUGGGACCGAGAUGGCGGUGAUUUCGGACGGGGCGAAGAGGCUGUAUUAUAUGAACGAAGAUAAUUUGCAGAUUUCGACGAGAAUCCGGUCUUCUGUAGGAUGUUCAUGGAGGCUUUUGCUUGGGAGAAAUGGCUGGAAUGAUACGAACUUAGAGUUUUUUCGUCAAGGAUGUAACCUUCCGAGAUCAUUUCUCUGAAGAUUUUGAAGGAAGCUUCUGCGUCGCGCUUCGAUUCGGAUAAGAAGGUGAGGAUGAGGUUGAAGGUGGUUCGAUUAAGUCGAAUCCUGUCGAGCUUCAUCUGACGGAAAUAGUCUAGAACGAUCGAGGUUAGACCGGUUCUGCCAUCCAUUCCCAAUCCUUCAUCGGUGAUGUUAACACCUCGUUGAUUUUGUUCAGAUCUUUGACCAUAGUGGCAUCGUCGGAUUUCCAAUCCUUACCCGAAUUUUUGUUAGGGAGAACUUCGGAGGUACUUGGAUAGAGCUCGUCGGAAGUGAAGAUGUCUUGGAGUUUUCCAACUUUGGUAAGCUGACCUGCAGUGAAGAGACCACCAGGUUGGAUGUUUUAUCAUCUAAUUUGACAUCGGAAAUCUUCGAAUAUAAGAUCAAAAGUUUCAAGUGGGUGGAGUAAAAUUCCGACGUCAGAUUAAAAACAACUGCCAUUUUCUUGAAAACGUUUAUAGCUUCGGAGAUGUUUUUAUUCCGAAUAUAUCAGAAAUUGUAUCAAACCAAAUUGUAUUGAAUAUCAUUGUUACAUAUUUAUAGGAAUGAUUACUUACUGAUUA